rnacentral:rRNA from 1 species
UACGUAGGUGGCAAGCGUUGUCCGGAAUUAUUGGGCGUAAAGCGCGCGCAGGUGGUUUCUUAAGUCUGAUGUGAAAGCCCACGGCUCAACCGUGGAGGGUCAUUGGAAACUGGGGAACUUGAGUGCAGGAGAGAAGAGUGGAAUUCCACGUGUAGCGGUGAAAUGCGUAGAGAUGUGGAGGAACACCAGUGGCGAAGGCGACUCUUUGGCCUGUAACUGACACUGAGGCGCGACAGCGUGGGGAGCAAACAGG